UGGGGAAUAUUGCACAAUGGGCGCAAGCCUGAUGCAGCCAUGCCGCGUGUGUGAAGAAGGCCUUCGGGUUGUAAAGCACUUUCAGCGGGGAGGAAGGCGAUAAGGUUAAUAACCUUGUCGAUUGACGUUACCCGCAGAAGAAGCACCGGCUAACUCCGUGCCAGCAGCCGCGGUAAUACGGAGGGUGCAAGCGUUAAUCGGAAUUACUGGGCGUAAAGCGCACGCAGGCGGUCUGUCAAGUCGGAUGUGAAAUCCCCGGGCUCAACCUGGGAACUGCAUUCGAUACUGGUCAGCUAGAGUCUUGUAGAGGGGGGUAGAAUUCCAUGUGUAGCGGUGAAAUGCGUAGAGAUGUGGAGGAAUACCGGUGGCGAAGGCGGCCCCCUGGACAAAGACUGACGCUCAGGUGCGAAAGCGUGGGGAGCAAACAGG
rnacentral:rRNA from 1 species